rnacentral:miRNA from 1 species
CCCUCCCUCCCAGACCCUCCCACCUCCUGGACAGCAUCCAUUUUGAAGCUGCAUUAUUAGUGAGCUGUCCAGGAGGUGGGAGGGUCUGGGAGGGAGGG